AGAAAGAUAAGCUAACCAAGCUAUUGGGUUCAUACCCCACUUAUAGAAGUCUUACCCUUCUUCUUUCUA
rnacentral:tRNA from 1 species